GAUGAAGAACGUAGCGAAAUGCGAUAAGUAAUGUGAAUUUCAGAAUUCAGUGAAUCAUCGAAUCUUUGAACGCACAUUGCGCCCUCUGGUAUUCCGGGGGGCAUGCCUGUUCGAGCGUCAUUAUAACCACUCAAGCUCUCGCUUGGUAUUGGGGUUCGCGGUUUCGCGGCCCCUAAAAUCAGUGGCGGUGCCUGUCGGCUCUACGCGUAGUAAUACUUCUCGCGAUUGAGUUCGAUAGGUCUACUUGCCAGUAACCCCCAAUUUUUACAGGUUGACCUCGGAUCAGGUAGGGAUACCCGCUGAACUUAAGCAUAUCAAUAAGCGGAGGA
rnacentral:misc_RNA from 1 species